UAGGAGCUUAGGCUCCCAA
rnacentral:snRNA from 1 species